AUUGCUGGAAAGCGCAGUAGGAAAGAACGCCCUUAUUUGGGUCCAGCUAGCAAUCAUCACAUGGGCAGGUAAAAGGUAAAGGUCCCCUGGACGGUAGGUUAAGUCUAGUCAAAGGAAACUAUGGGGUUGCAGCACUCAUCUCGCUUUCAGGCUGAGGGAGCCGACGUUUGUCCACAGACAGCUUUCUGGGUCAUGUGGCCAGCAGGACUAAACCGCUUCUGGCACAAUGGAACACUGUGACGGAAACCGGAGCACACGGAAACGCCAUUUACCUUCCCGCCGCAGCGGUACUUAUUUAUCUACUUGCACUGGCAUGCUUUCAAGCUGCUAGGUUGGCAGGAACUGGGACAGAGCAACGGGAGCUCACUCUGUUGCAGGGAUUCGAACCGCCAACCUUCUGAUCAGCAAGCCCAGGAGACUCAAUGAUGCUGAACAAAGUGGGCCAUUGGUCUGAUCCAGCAGGCUCUUCUCUUGUUUUCUUCUGGGUCCCUGCACAAUAUGACUACCUCUUACAAUUUUGGAGCUUGGGGUGGUUGAUAUGAGGAUAGACAACCUGUUAUUUGCCUACCUCCCAAGUCAUGUUGGACUUUAUGCCUCAAGGACUCAUCCAAUUAACUUUCCCCGACUCAGUUUCCUCCAGGUGUACCAAAUCUCCCAUCAGUCCCAGGCAGCACCUUUAUUUGUUUGGGUUUUUGCUGCAACAGACUUAACACUCUCAGGAAAUCUAUUUCUUCCCAAAAUAGCUGCUCUUUUAGCGGUAAUGAAAUCUCCUCAAAUGUGCCUUCCUGGAGUGCUAAGUAAACUGUCUCCAUUUAGGGUGUCGAUAGCAGGACAGCAUCCUCCUUGUUCGUCUAGAAGCCCUUAACAGAUUGUGGUUGGCUGACAAGCCACUGAUUCCGAUUCCCAAUGAAAGCUGUCAAUAGACGUGUCAAUAAGAUGCAGAGGCUAUUGACUAGCAUAGGCAUUUGGGGUCACUGGUCGAUGGGAGCUCUCAGCGAGUGAUGUUGGAAAUGAGCACUUUCAAAUACAAGCAGCAAAGUGAGACUCCCCAAGGAAGAAUAAUAUGACUCAAUUUUCUUCCAUGUUCUGGCUUUGUCAAUUUCCCUGCAGCUGGAAGAGGAGAAGGAGAGACUUUGAAUUCAGAGUGCUAACCUCUAAACAUCUUGGGGGCAGAUAAACAACCAGCCACAAUUAAGCCACACAUGAAUACCUGACAUGCUGCCUAUGGGGAGGAAAGAGGACAAGCGCAGGAGCUGUUCUCUGCCAGACAUACUGUGAUGUCUCAGGAGAGACACCCUUUCACCACAAGGACAUUUAAGGCAAGCUGAUUGGCAUCAGAUUCUGGGAUGAGAAUUUCUGACCACCCGGAAAUGGCGGGUGCCUUGAAUUGGGGGUUGGGGAGUCAUAGGGUCAUAUUUCUUUGGGGCAGGUUGAAAGAUCAAAGAGUUGAGGCUAGAAAUGAGGCAAGAAGUUGAUUCUGACUAGAAAUGUGUGGCAGGGAGUAUGGCAUUUUCUACAGAGUUAAGGAGCAAUCAACACUUGUUGGGAGUCAUUUGGCCAUGACUUUGUAUAUCCAUAGAAAGUGAAGAAUACAAGUUGCAAAUGCACCUUGAACACAGACUAGAACUUUAGCCUUAUUUCCAAUAUUUAUUUAUUUUUACCUUGGAAAAAAGCAAUGGGGGAAAUUAAAUUUAGUUCGCUUUUAAAGACAAAUCUAUCUAAUUGUCACUUUCUGAAACUAUCUGCAAACUGAAACACUGGCAUCCUUUAAAACUCACACUUCUCCAAAUUUGCAAUGCAGGUCUCCAGCCAAGUAACCUGUGCAAAAUUGCAUAUGCUAGGAUAAAGUGUGCAUAAAAUGUAUAUGUUAGGGACAAUAACAUACAGAAAUACAUUGAAUUAGGGGGAAAUGCUUUGCAAAAAUGCAGUUUUAAACAAAAACUCUCUCAAAAAAUAUGCAUUUUAAUUAAAUGCACUUUGAUACUACAUUGGAACAUUCAGGACGUGUGAAAGCCAGAGGGUAAUUAAAUUCUGAUCUGCUUAUUAAACUGGGUUGUAUGGACAGGUCAGUCCAUAUCAAAAUUCACAAAGAUCAAGUUUCUCAAAUAUCUGUAGACACAUGUAAAAACAGCACACACUACCCCUUGCAAUCAGCAGCUAUAGAGACAUUGAGAAGCUCUAAUAGUGGGUGGCAAGCUUAGGUGAUGAAGCUUUUGGAUUCUUUGCCCUUCCAAGUAUGAUCACUAGAUCUUAUAGAUAAUAACUGGUGGUAUUUGGAGGGAAAAGUCAUUCCCUAAUAGCUGAUGAAGCUCGUACAACUGAAAUCCUGAACUUGAGUAAGCAGCUCAACUAAACCUGAUAAAAGAGAAUAACAGGCUAUUGGCGAAGACUGUGGGGUAGAGAUUCCAUGGGGAUAACAACUUUUUACUGCAAGUGGUGGGUUUGCCAAUGUUAGCACUAUCAGUGCCAUGAAACAGCAAGAAGUCCAAAGCUUUGCUUGUCAGCAAAAACCUUGUUUAUUCAAAGGGUCACUCCACAAUAAGGUUUAAAAAAAACCCCAAAACCAGUGUUAUCGCUCCUUGCCUCCUUGUGCUGAGGCACAUUAUGCUCACCCUCAAUUGAGAUGGUGCUGCUACCUCUGACCCUUUCUUCUGAGAUUCCCUAGACUGGUUUUAUGCUGUGUUUAUCUAUUUAUUUAAUGCAUAUAUAUCCCUUUUCCUACCAGGAGCUCAAUAGGCUUGGUCCACACUUGUUUGCUGUUAUUGUCAGCAACAGAGAAAUUGCUUUGAUGAAUUUUUAUUUUUAUUUUUUUUAAAAAAAGAGAGAGGGUUCCAUCCUUUCAUCCUGGCCAAGAGAACCCAGCCAAUCAGGGAUCAUCAAAGAAGCUUGAUGAUGUCACACAGCACCAUAUAACCAGUUAGAUUUGGCAGUAUAUUGCCUACUCAAAGCCAAGUCAGAGUGAGAGCAAUGCUUCCUAGAAUUUGCUCCGAAUUGGAAAACAUUUUUGCCCAAUUUUGAACUGCUACCAAAAUGGGGAGGGGGUUCAUUAAGGGGUGAUUCAGUGUGUGUGAACUGCACCCCUCCCUGUUUUGACUCAGUCCGACAUUUGCCUUAUGAAAAAUUCAAUGAAACUCAAAACUCCUGCAGGCUAACAUCAAUAACAUAAGCUGGCCCAAUCCUGGGAGUAUCUUCAAUCCUUUGAUUCCUUGGUGCUCAUGUGUGAUGCCACAGAUCCGAUCUGUAAAUGUCAAAGACUGUGUGUGAAAAAUGAAUAAAGUUCUGUCUGACUUUAGGCCAAGAGUGGAGAACCCUUUUCAUCCAGAAGACCCUAUUUCCUCAUGGCCAGCCUUGAGGAGAGAUGCAUACCGAUGAUGGACAAGAAAAGAGACCCAAAGUGGAUAGAGCAAAAGAUGUGAUCUUAUGCUUGCACAGCCAUGCUUUAAUUGCAGCCAUGCAUAAACCAGACAUUUCUACAAACACCACCUCUCUCAUUCAUUUUGGCAAGAGUUUAAGGGCAUGUUCCAGUGAAGG